GCAGCCUUGGCCCAGUGGUAAGGCGACAGACUUCGACGUUUGUUCUACUAGAAUCUGUAGAUCGGGGGUUCGAUCCCCUCAGGCUGUU